rnacentral:snRNA from 1 species
UUUGGAGAGAGGAUUAGCUCAGCCCCUGCACAAGGACAACAUGCAAAUUCAUGAGGAAUUCCAAUUUAUC